UAGACCUUCUGAAACAAGAUGUGGCUGCUGGAGCCGUUUGCCACCAGGGACACUGGACACUCACUAUUAUGUAUCUCAAGGAGAAGAGGUGCUUGUACUUGGACCCAUUUGGUGCUACGCAACA